rnacentral:rRNA from 1 species
UACGAAGGGGGCUAGCGUUGCUCGGAAUGACUGGGCGUAAAGGGCGCGUAGGCGGUUUGUACAGUCAGGUGUGAAAUUCCCGGGCUCAACCUGGGGGGCUGCACUUGAUACGUAUGGACUGGAGUGGGGAAGAGGGUCGUGGAAUUCCCAGUGUAGAGGUGAAAUUCGUAGGAUAUUGGGAAGAACACCGGGUGGCGAAGGCGGCGACCUGGUCCUUGACUGACGCUGAGGCGCGAAAGCGUGGGGAGCAAACAGG